AUUGAACGCUAGCGGCAUGCCUAACACAUGCAAGUCGAACGAGUGGCGGACGGGUGAGUAAUGUAUGGGAAACUGCCCGAUGGAGGGGGAUAACUACUGGAAACGGUAGCUAAUACCGCAUACCAUCGGAUGUGCCCAGAUGGGAUGAGCUAGUGGGUGGGGUAACGGCUCACCAAGGCCACGAUCCCUAGCUGGUCUGCGAGGAUGACCAGCCACACUGGAAAUGAGACACGGCCCAGACUCCUACGGGAGGCAGCAGUGGGGAAUAUUGCACAAUGGGCGCAACCCUGAUGCAGCCAUGCCGCGUGUGUGAAGAAGGCCUUCGGGUUGUAAAGUACUUUCAGCGAGGAGGCGUUACUCGCAGAAGAAGCACCGGCUAACUCCGUGCCAGCAGCCGCGGUAAUUC
rnacentral:rRNA from 1 species